GCCCAACUGGUUCAGUCGGUAGAGAAUGAGACUCUUAAUCUCAGGUCAUAGAUUCAUGUCACAUGUUGGGUG
rnacentral:tRNA from 2 species